AGUAGAGAAGAAGCCCUUGGCUUGAUUUUGGGACUUGGUGAAAGGGAAGAUCUGGGAUUACAGAAAGGACAGUGGAGCAUCGUGAUGUGGAGUCCACAGUUUGGUCAUGCAGCAGUCCCCCUUUUAGAAGGGCAGGAGUCCCUCCAGGAGUGUCCUUGAGUUGGCUUCGGACAGGCAGGCUGUGCAACUCCUGCUAGCAAAUUUAUCUGCAGCCACCGAAAUCAGGGAGCUGCUUCGGCCAGAGCAGCUGAAGUCCUCCUCGUGCCUCCUGCAUCUUAGUGCCCAAGUGAAGGUCMAGAACCACAACCUGCAGUUCGCAGCAGGCUGGCAGCUGCCUGGGUGCUUGCAAAGAGUUAACUGGCACCCCUGGUUGCACGACAGCCUCCAGCUGCCUGCAUCUUCUCCUCCAGCGUUUCUCUCCACUAUUUCAUCAAACCAACAGGCAUGGAUUUAAUUUUCCAUGACUGACUUAUGAAAUACGAUCCUUGCUGUAAUAAAGAAAUUAUUUGGUUGGUAAUGGAUACAUAAGAAAUCAAUUUCCUUUUUUAAAAUUAGGUAGGAUUAACAAUGAAGCAAACAAAUAGUGUGAGGGAAAGAAGAGUAGUGGGAGAAGGACCCAAUGGACCAGAGACAGGGCUGACUGCACUGGGAUGUGUUGCUUGUUAUGACGCCUUUGUUAAUAGCUUCACUGAGGCUGUUGCAGCUGUAGUGUUUCUUCCAGUGUAUAUUCAUUUCUGUGCUUUAAAAUUAUGAGUUUGGGUAGACUUCUAAAGACUUAUGAUUCUUCUUCUGCUUAACAGUGACACAAUGUGCAAUAUACCCUCCCUGCUUUCCUGCUCCAUCUUCAGCAGAGACAGUGCUCAGCAGACCUGGUUCCCUGCACCAGGCUGCUGGAACCUGCUCCCUAGUGMCUGCCAUAGAGGAAAAACCUUCCAGCCUGCGCUUUCCAGGGUUUUUGCCAUGCAGGAGCCAGCUCUGUAUUUGGAGAUGUUGGAGCAGUGCGAUGCAGCCUGCGGGAGAACCUGGCUGUUGCUGCUGGAAGCCUCUGCUCCCCAGCCCCGGCUCCUGCUCCUCUGCUUUCCCCUGUGGCUCAAAGUGCCCUUCGCGCUGGGGAGCCCCRUGUCUGGUAGGGCUGCCAGCAGCCCCGGGUCCUGCCCCGCACUGGGCAGCGCAGCCCCCUUCCCGGCACCCGCAGCAUCUCGUCCUGCUGCAGGAGAUGUUGACCACRCUUGGUCACCC